CCGCUUAUCAAGUCAGAGUGGAAAUCCUCAGUGUUGAAAGUCUCUUGGACGUCGCCGGAGACUCCGACACCGCUGAAGAAUCUGUCGAUUAUGGAGAGAAUUUGCGAAGAAAGGUCCUUCGAUACGGCGGGAGGUGGAGGAGAGAGAAUUUGUGUGUCGUUGCGGUGAAUUAGCGGCCGUUUAUCUCUCUCCAUUUCGAUCUGUGUUUUGUGAUCCGAAAUUCUAGGGGAAGGACUUAUUCAAUAUUCAUGGGAUUUCUCGGGACUCUGAAGAGAUGGGGCUAUGUUCUGGUGGGUUUAAC
rnacentral:lncRNA from 1 species